rnacentral:rRNA from 1 species
UGGGGAAUAUUGGACAAUGGGCGCAAGCCUGAUCCAGCCACGCCGCGUGAGUGAUGAAGGCCUUCGGGUCGUAAAGCUCUGUGGGGAGGGACGAACGGCGCCAUGAAGAGUGGCGAUUGACGGUACCUCCUUAGCAAGCACCGGCUAACUUCGUGCCAGCAGCCGCGGUAAUACGAAGGGUGCAAACGUUGCUCGGAAUCAUUGGGCGUAAAGCGCACGUAGGCGGCUUUCUAAGUCGGAUGUGAAAUCCCUCGGCUUAACCGAGGACGUGCAUCCGAAACUGGGAGGCUUGAGUAUGGAAGAGGGUCGCAGAAUUCCCGGUGUAGAGGUGAAAUUCGUAGAUAUCGGGAGGAAUACCAGUGGCGAAGGCGGCGACCUGGGCCAAUACUGACGCUGAGGUGCGAAAGCGUGGGGAGCAAACA